GUCUACGGCCAUGCCACCCUGAACACGCCCAAUCUUGUCUGAUCUCAGAAGCUAAGCAGCGUUGGGCCUGGUUAGUAGUUGGAUGGAAGACUACUUAGGAAUACUGGGUGCUGUAGGUG
rnacentral:rRNA from 1 species